GCUUGCGGCCACACUAGUGUGACUGCGCCUGAUCUCGGAAGCUAAACACGCUUGGGCUCGAUCAGUACUUGGAAGGGAGACCGCCUGGGAACCCCGAGUGCUGUAAGCU
ensembl:rRNA 5S_rRNA 5S ribosomal RNA